CCAGCAGCCGCGGUAAUUCCAGCUCCAAUAGCGUAUAUUAAUGUUGUUGCAGUUAAAAAGCUCGUAGUUGGAUUUCUGCGCCGCGCAACUGGGUCCGCCGCACUGCGGUGUGACUGGGUUGGAGCGUCGCAUCCUUGUGGAGACUGUUUCUGGCAUUAACUUGUCUUGAUUCAGGAACCGCAUCGUUUACUGUGAAAAAAUUAGAGUGUUCAAAGCAGGCUUAUGCCGUGAAUACAUUAGCAUGGAAUAAUAAGAUAGGACUUUGGUUCUAUUUUGUUGGUUGGAGGCCAAGGUAAUGAUUAAUAGGGAUAGUUGGGGGUAUUCAUAUUUAAUUGUCAGAGGUGAAAUUCUUGGAUUUAUGAAAGAUGAACUUAUGCGAAAGCAUUUACCAAGGAUGUUUUCAUUAAUCAAGAACGAAAGU
rnacentral:rRNA from 1 species